UCCAAUAAUAAGGGGAUGAAUAAAGCUCAACACGUCUACAUAUCUCCGUGACUAUAUCUACAGGUUAGGUUUCAUGAACUGUUUUGUAUCAUGGUACACAUGGAUGGUAGUCAAAUGUAUUCACACUCGUGAAAGGGAAUGACACCAAGGCAGUUGACCAUCAUCAUGUGCCGUAUACUGUCUCAGUGAAACCCACCAUGCAAACAGGGAUAGGUUAGUCA